GGCAUAUCCCAUUCUUAGCCUCAACAGCAUGUUCAUCAUCUAUAUGACAACAUAGUCCAACAAUAUCAAAAUCCUCCGCACAGAAAGGACAGAGAAACUCUGGCCUCGUCUCGUCUUCACCAUCAUACUCCUCUCCUAAGUUACGGAUUUCUGAUCGAGGUUGGUAACGCCUUGAAGAAGAAGUAAAUAUACGAUUCCAAGAAUCUGAAUCCAUUAUAAAUAUUUCAGACUCAAAAUCUUUAGAAUUUUUUUUAAAAAAAAAUAAUCUUUGUACCCCUUUAGCUAGCUCAAAGAUGAAACCUUUUUUUGUUUUUG
rnacentral:misc_RNA from 1 species